CUUUUCCUGCUGUUUCCCUCCCACGCACCCUGCACACUACCAAUCUUUGUUAAAAUGUGUGUAGGUUUCUAGAAGAAAAGCAAUUUAUCGUCUUGUUGCUGUGGUUCCCAGGAUGUUGAAGGCUGCAAUACCGAAGGCCUCACCACUGAACGCUGAAACUUACCCAUCGCUGGCUACUUUAUAGAUAACAUCCAUAAGUCACCAUAGUAAUGGUUGCUUCAGUUGUUUUUCAGAAAUGUGGGCCGGCUCCUGUCCAGUUCAAACUGUUUGAGACCACUGACCCUUCAACUGGGCCAACACAAUUGCCCAAGACGUGGCCUUUUGACCACAGAGGGCCAAAAACUCCCCCCUCAGAUCAAGCUGAUGCCAUCAUUUUCUGUACAUAUGCCACACAAAUGUCACGAGCCCCAGCUAUGCUUGUGCAUCAUGAACCUGUUACUUUAUUUUUUCCCCUGCCAAUCACCUUUCCCCAUGCUUUAGAUCACUCCACUUUCCUAACCCCUAAACAUCCCGAAGCCUCAUUUUCAUGGAGGUGGACUUGAGAGCUGUUCUCCC
rnacentral:lncRNA from 1 species